GACGAACGCUGGCGGCGUGCUUAACACAUGCAAGUCGAACGGAAAGGCCCUGCUUUUGUGGGGUGCUCGAGUGGCGAACGGGUGAGUAACACGUGAGUAACCUGCCCUUGACUUUGGGAUAACUUCAGGAAACUGGGGCUAAUACCGGAUAGGAACUCCUGCUGCAUGGUGGGGGUUGGAAAGUUUCGGCGGUUGGGGAUGGACUCGCGGCUUAUCAGCUUGUUGGUGGGGUGGUGGCUUACCAAGGCUUUGACGGGUAGCCGGCCUGAGAGGGUGACCGGCCACAUUGGGACUGAGAUACGGCCCAGACUCCUACGGGAGGCAGCAGUGGGGAAUAUGGAACAAUGGGCGGAAGCCUGAUGCAGCAACGCCGCGUGCGGGAUGACGGCCUUCGGGUUGUAAACCGCUUUCGCCUGUGACGAAGCGUGAGUGACGGUAAUGGGUAAAGAAGCACCGGCUAACUACGUG
rnacentral:rRNA from 1 species